rnacentral:piRNA from 1 species
UGUUAUUUUUCGAUAAGAAUAGGAUGGCACC